rnacentral:rRNA from 1 species
UACGUAGGGCGCGAGCGUUGUCCGGAAUUAUUGGGCGUAAAGAGCUCGUAGGCGGCCUGUUGCGUCCGCUGUGAAAUCCCAGGGCUCAACCCUGGGCGUGCAGUGGAUACGGGCAGGCUGGAGGCAGGCAGGGGAGAACGGAAUUCCCGGUGUAGCGGUGAAAUGCGCAGAUAUCGGGAGGAACACCGGUGGCGAAGGCGGCCACCUGGACCAACACUGACACUGAGGCACGAAAGCGUGGGGAGCAAACAGG